UGACUUUUGUAAAACCAUUAAUACUUUGUUUUGUCGGUCUUAGAGGAUUCUCUAACCGGAUAGGGGUUUUUUUGAUGUCAGCCUUUUAUAAUUCGGUUUUAGAAUACUGUAAAUCGUAUGUACCGAUGAAAAUUUUGGUCAUGACGACUCUUUUGCUCCGGCUCCGGCGAAUAUGACGGCUAGAAAACGUUGUAGCUUCGACUCAGGUACACAUUCUCCUUUCCUUUGCUUGCUUCUUCUUUCUGUUCUAUUAUAA
rnacentral:lncRNA from 1 species